UACAGAGGGGGCAAGCGUUGUUCGGAAUUACUGGGCGUAAAGGGCGCGUAGGCGGCCUUCUAAGUCGAACGUGAAAUCCCCGGGCUCAACCCGGGAACUGCGUCCGAUACUGGAAGGCUUGAAUCCAGGAGAGGUGAGUGGAAUUCCGAGUGUAGAGGUGAAAUUCGUAGAUAUUCGGAAGAACACCAGUGGCGAAGGCGGCUCACUGGACUGGUAUUGACGCUGAGGUGCGAAAGCGUGGGGAGCAAACAGGG
rnacentral:rRNA from 1 species